CAAUAGCGUAUAUUAAAGUUGUUGCAGUUAAAAAGCUCGUAGUUGGAUUUGUGGCGUACGGUGUGUUCCGGGCACUUGUUGUCUGAGUAACCUGCUGUUGCCAUCCUUGGGUGGAACCUGUGUGGCAUUAGGUUGUCGUGCAGGGGAUGCCCAUCAUUUACUGUGAAAAAAUUAGAGUGUUCAAAGCAGGCUUAUGCCGUUGAAUAUAUUAGCAUGGAAUAAUGAGAUAGGACUUUUUUGCUAUUUUGUUGGUUUGCGCAAAGAGGCAAUGAUUAAUAGGGACAGUUGGGGGUAUUCGUAUUCCAUUGUCAGAGGUGAAAUUCUUGGAUUUUUGGAAGACGAACUACUGCGAAAGCAUUUACCAAGGAUGUUUUCAUUAA
rnacentral:rRNA from 1 species